UACGUAGGGUCCGAGCGUUGUCCGGAAUUAUUGGGCGUAAAGAGCUCGUAGGCGGUUUGUCGCGUCUGCUGUGAAAUCCCGAGGCUCAACCUCGGGUCUGCAGUGGGAACGGGCAGACUGGAGUGCGGUAGGGGAGAAUGGAAUUCCUGGUGUAGCGGUGGAAUGCGCAGAUAUCAGGAGGAACACCGAUGGCGAAGGCAGUUCUCUGGGCCGUAACUGACGCUGAGGAGCGAAAGCGUGGGGAGCGAGCAGG
rnacentral:rRNA from 1 species